UACGUAGGGGGCUAGCGUUGUCCGGAUUUAUUGGGCGUAAAGAGCGUGUAGGCGGCCAUGCAGGUCAGCUGUGAAAAACUCGAGGCUCAACCUCGAGACGUCGGUUGAAACCGUAUGGCUAGAGUCCGGAAGAGGAGAGUGGAAUUCCCGGUGUAGCGGUGAAAUGCGCAGAUAUCGGGAAGAACACCUAUGCGAAGGCAGCUCUCUGGGACGGUACUGACGCUGAGACGCGAAAGCGUGGGGAGCGAACAGG
rnacentral:rRNA from 1 species